GUCACGCUGUAAACGAUGUCGAUUUGGAGUUUGUUGCCUAGAGUGAUGGGCUCCGAAGCUAACGCGAUAAAUCGACCGCUGGGGAGUACGGCCGCAAGGUUAAAACUCAAAUGAAUUGACGGGGGCCCGCACAAGCGGUGGAGCAUGUGGUUUAAUUCGAUGCAACGCGAAGAACCUUACCUGGUCUUGACAUCCAUAGAAUUCUGCAGAGAUGUGGGAGUGCCUUCGGGAACUAUGAGACGGGUGCUGCAUGGCUGUCGUCAGCUCGUGUUGUGAAAUGUUGGGUUAAGUCCCGCAACGAGCGCAACCCUUAUUCUUUGUUGCCAGCGAUUUGGUCGGGAACUCAAAGGAGACUGCCGUUGAUAAAGCGGAGGAAGGUGGGGACGACGUCAAGUCAUCAUGGCCCUUACGACCAGGGCUACACACGUGCUACAAUGGCGUAUACAAAGGGAAGCGAAGGUGCGAGCUGGAGCGGAUCUCAUAAAGUACGUCUAAGUUCGGAUUGGAGUCUGCAACUCGACUCCAUGAAGUCGGAAUCGCUAGUAAUCGUAGAUCAGAAUGCUACGGUGAAUACGUUCCCGGGCCUUGUACACACCGCCCGUCACACCAUGGGAGUGGGUUGCACCAGAAGUAGAUAGCUUAACCGCGAGGGGGGCGUUUACCACGGUGUGAUUCAUGACUGGGGUGAAGUCGUAACAAGGUAACCA
rnacentral:rRNA from 1 species